UACGGAGGGUGCAAGCGUUAUCCGGAAUCAUUGGGUUUAAAGGGUCCGCAGGCGGGAAGAUAAGUCAGUGGUGAAAUCUCACAGCUCAACUGUGAAGACUGCCAUUGAUACUGUCUUUCUUGAAUUCGAUCGAAGUGGGCGGAAUGUGACAUGUAGCGGUGAAAUGCUUAGAUAUGUCACAGAACACCGAUAGCGAAGGCAGCUCACUAGGUCUGGAUUGACGCUCAGGGACGAAAGCGUGGGGAGCAAACAGG
rnacentral:rRNA from 1 species